CCACAAGCUCUUCGAUCAUCGUUCCGUUAACCCUUCUCAAUCCUUCACGUACACUUCGGCGCCCACAUGCCCAACUGUGAAGGCACAUGCGGAGAUGAUCUUCUGUCCUCCCCUGACAGUACUACCACAGUGCUGUCUUGCACCUACGGUUGCCCUCGUUCAUCAGUGGUGGAUGCAGCUUGAUACAAAUGGAAGUGGACUAUGAACCCUGCUGAAAAUCCAGAAAACAAGAAUGUUAUCAUACAAGAAUUAUCAGCACUAAAAUCUUUGCUGAAAAGAGCAAGCUAAUGGCAUUUUACAAGAUUUUAAUAGGUGAAAAGGGGAAAGAUAAUAAAUACAGUGAGGAAGAACAUAUAGAUUCCAUUUGAAGUUUAACCAACGGAGCAUUGGAGGAGUAAUGCGGCUAUUUUAGCAGCUUUGGUUGUGGAAAUAUCCUUCAGGUAUUGAAGGAGGGCAGUAUUUCUUCGCUGCGAAUUUGUACUGAGACAAAAAUAAACAACUCUAGUUAGAUUAUCAGUUACAUUUUACUGCUACUCAUCGUUGUUUACAAAAAAUAUGCUAGAGCAAAAUACAAGUUUUCGAACCUUAUGCUGGCUGUAUUUAUCCCUGAUUGCAGGUAAGGUAGAGUUAUGGCUAUCACAGCACAGGCGGUGGAGAUCCUUGACGCAGUCAUACAAAUCUGAAGGCUGGUAAAGAGUGUAAUGCUGCAACGUAGAAUUCUGCUCCAAAACAUAAGGAUGAUCAAGGUUUUAACUUGUGUUUAAGCAGUGCAACAGAAGUACCGAAACAAAUACCAUUCUCUUAUCAGAUGCAUACCCAUGGUCUUCUUGAGGGAAGAAGUAUAUAUUUAGCCAAGAAAAUUGCAGAGGCGGCUAUGAGUGAUGGAGCAUAGCAAAGCAUAUUGUAUUCUGGGAGAGAUAAUUCAGUGACGUAGUUGGCUAAGCACUCCAAUUGCAUCGAUGGAACCUGUGAAAGAGAGCAACCCAUUAUUGUAGAAGGGACAAAAUCUUAGAAAAUGUAAAGGGACUGCUGCCAUAUAACACUAGAUCAUGCUGAUGUCACAUAAUAUGCGGAGCAAAUGUCCAAUUAUACAAGGAUGGAUACCUCAUAAAUUCCCUGAGCAGCACGAACAAAUCGUCUGCAAAAGUUGACAGUAUUUUUUAUCACUAGUCAAAACAAGCAGCGCAGCAUAUUAAAAUGGGAUAUGGAGAGAAGUCAUAAAUUCAGUGAUUACCUUAGAAAACAUUUUGCUGUAGGGGCUGUCAUCUCAAAUUUCAAGUAAUUCAAAACAUUUGAUUCCAUUUCC